rnacentral:rRNA from 1 species
UACGUAGGAGACGAGCGUUGUCCGAAAUUACUGGGCGUAAAGCGCGUGUAGGCGGAUGGGCAAGUCUGCUGUGAAAGCUCCUGGCUUAACCGGGAGUAGUCGGUGGAAACUGCCAAUCUGGAGGACGGUAGAGGUAGGUAGAAUUCCCGGUGUAGUGGUGAAAUGCGUAGAGAUCGGGAGGAAUACCUGUGGCGAAGGCGGCCUACUGGGCCGGACCUGACGCUGAGACGCGAAGGCGUGGGGAGCGAACAGG